GACGGCAUAAUGUAAUGGUUUGAGUGUUGGACUCUGAUUCUGGAGGCCACGGUUCGAUUCCCAGUUCCGCUG